AGAUGUGAGAAGAAUCUUGUUGCAAUGUCUGCCAUUCCGGUUGUUGCCAGAGGUGAUUUGGCUGAUCUGGUCAACUAGGCAGGUGGCCCCUUCCUCUCUCCAGAUUUAUUGUUUACAAGCUAUAGGCUCCAUCCCCCAAAAAAUGACCUUCUCCAGUAGAAGUCAAGUGUGUAUGAGUAGCUGUGCUUAUUAUGUCCUAGAACUUCAAUAAAAAGCUCCCAUGGCAUGGGGGGAGCUCCCAAGGUCCAUUUGUAGGAGAAUGGAGGGGAAGCAAGCUUCCAAGACUUCAGAUAUUAUCCAGAUGUGCUACUGCAUGAGCAAAGUUGUCU
rnacentral:snRNA from 1 species